GGAGGCCUCCAGUGUCUGUUUGCACAGUUGGGGCGCUUGCUAGGCACCCCACCUCCGGAAGAAAAGCACCACGAGGUCAUCUGUUUACUCUGGGAUUAGCGGCUCCCAGCGGGAGCUCUUUUCCUCGGAGAUGAAAAGAAAGCGGACAAUCUGUCAGUGCCUCGAAAAGAACUGAGGGCUCCAGUCACACCCCCUCACCUCACUAACGACUUCUCUUCCCCAGACUGAGCAGAUGUAGCUCUUCCUUCGGUUAUCCCCCUGUGGCUGGGUCUGAGACUCCGACACCCAGGCCAGCCUCCCCCAAAUCCCCAAACAAGAAAACUUCAAGCAGGAGCAGGGCUCUUCUUAGCUGUCCAAAGGUGGGAAGAGCUGUCUCUGGAGGGAGUGAACUCCCCAUCCCUGGGGGUAUUCAAGGUGGAUGACCAUCCAUCAGGAAGAUUACAGAAGGGGUUCCUGCACUGAGUGGGAAAUUGAAGUAAAUGGCAUCAAAGAUAGAAGCUCAUCAUGAAGAAGAAAUGAGAAAUUCCUCCUUCCUUCAUUCAACCAGUGUUCACUGUUGAGUGCCUAGCUAUGAAUUCUCCCAUGCUGGCUACUCUCCUGAGUGCACAGUUCACACUAAGAGAAGAACCUAAAUUUGGGGGAAGUACUUCAUGAAAACAGGAUCCCUUUGAAGUUGCUCUUUGCCUCUGCUUUUCCCAUCUGUAGAAUGGGCGGGGUGGUAAUGUGCUUACCUCCUAGACCCAGCCUGCAGACAGCCAAGUGGCCUGAGACAUAGUAGGCCAAAGUGGAAGUGAGCAACAUGCUCAGUGUGUAUUAAAUCAGGUCCCAAGAAUCCGGCCCAGCUGAAAGCCUCACCCAAGGUGGCCAGGACUGGCUGGGGCUGGAACUGGAGACCAUGACCACACGUUCUUGGACCACAUCCAAAGCCAGCCAGGCGGCAGAGACAGUAGCUUUGCUGAAUGGACGUCAUCUGCUACCAUCAUUUCCCAGCAAUGGUAUCCAAGGGCCAGAUGAAGCCAUUUUUCAUUGCUUUGUAGAGGAAAGGGUGACCAGGAUCAACAGAUCAACAGUGCUCAGCUCAGGUUCACCAUCACAAGGACAAGCCAGUCCUUGCCCUUCGGAACUUGGGACUCAGAUGCGAAUUAAGUAGUCUGUCCUUGGAGAGUAUCAGUGUUACCUGUAGAACUAACAAAAUAUAGCUGACCAAGACUCCCAUUUUCGGAAAGAUGGAGUAGCUGUUCUUUCUUCUAUUUUACCCUCUAAGUACAACUGAAAACCUUGAUCAUCACCUAUAUAAAAAACAUAAGAGAGAGGACUCUGAAGAGUAGACAGGAGAAGGCCAGCUGGCUGGGGAACUUGGAACCCAAGGAAUCACACAGUGGUGAAAUGGCCAAGUGUUUUGGUUCUUUUGUCUUUUGCUUCAUAUACACCAGAUUUGGACCAAAAGAGUCAACAAAGCAGGAACCCCAAAGGACACCAACAAACAAACAAAAAAAUGUCCCAACCAAACCUGCUCACACUAACCACAAGACCAGGGAAAGGGCAGCCUAGCAAGACAGAAAACUUUUUUUCCCCCUGAACUAUGGUGAAAUAUACGUAACCAGAAAUAUACCACCUUAACCAUUUCUACAGUUGGGUGGCCUCGAGCACAUUCAUAGUGUUGCACAAUCACUACCACCAUUCUCCCCCAGAGCUCUUUUCAUCUUGCAAAACUGGAAUUCUGUUCCUAUGAAACAGCUCCUCAUUCCUGCUGCCCUCAACCCAGGCAACUACCAUUCCAUAUUCUGUCUCUCCGAAUGUGACUACUUUAGAUAGCUCACAUAAAUGGAAUCCUACAGUG